GACGAACGCUGGCGGCGUGCUUAACACAUGCAAGUCGAACGGAAAGGCCCUGCUUUUGUGGGGUGCUCGAGUGGCGAACGGGUGAGUAACACGUGAGUAACCUGCCCUUGACUUUGGGAUAACUUCAGGAAACUGGGGCUAAUACUGGAUAGGAGCUCCUGCUGCAUGGUGGGGGUUGGAAAGUUUCGGCGGUUGGGGAUGGACUCGCGGCUUAUCAGCUUGUUGGUGGGGUAGUGGCUUACCAAGGCUUUGACGGGUAGCCGGCCUGAGAGGGUGACCGGCCACAUUGGGACUGAGAUGCGGCCCAGACUCCUACGGGAGGCAGCAGUGGGGAAUAUUGCACAAUGGGCGGAAGCCUGAUGCAGCAACGCCGCGUGCGGGAUGACGGCCUUCGGGUUGUAAACCGCUUUCGCCUGUGACGAAGCGUGAGUGACGGUAAUGGGUAAAGAAGCACCGGCUAACUACGUG
rnacentral:rRNA from 1 species